AUGGGAUUGGCUCAGUGGCAGAGUGCUUGCCUCACAAAUAUGAGGCACUGGGUUGGAUCCUCAGCACCACAUA
rnacentral:tRNA from 1 species